AGGGCUAAACGAGUAGUAGUUGAUUUUCUCUUUUCGCUUUACUCUGAAAUGCUGUUAGUGACCCAAAAUCGCACAAGGCAACCACAAUACAGACCCCGAUCGUUUUUGGCAACAAUCGAUUUUAGAAACAUCCGAUUUUGGCACAUGUCCCUAAAUCAAACAAAUAACAGAAACAAUAUAACCUUAUAGUUUUCGCUUUAAUAGGAUCAACACAAUUUAGACAUAUUAGCAUGAUAGACAUAAUACAAUAACAUAAAUAGCAAAUAUGGCAAAAAACAAAAACUAUCGACAAAACACGAAAAGUGCUAAAUGCACCAAAAACAUGACAAAAAAGGUAGUUCUAAGUAAAAACGAAGUUGGGAAAAAAAUCGUUCGAUUUUGACAACACAAAAUGUUCGAGCGGGUUGCCAAAAGCAAUCAGGGUCUGGUUCUUCUAGUUUGUUCCUUUCAACUAAUACCAAUAUUGUAAAGCUUUCGUGCGGUUUUUAGUCAUUUGCAGAAUUUUAAAGGAAGCCGCCAUCUUGGAUUUCAUGAUGUCGUUUGAUAGAAAACUUCGACUUCUACUCGUUUGGUCCUUUCACACAAUGCCUAUAUUGUGUUAGUUUCAUGCGAUUUUCAGUGUUUAACAGCAUUUUAAAGUUCAGUGAAAGCCACCAUCUUGGAUUUCGAGAUGCACCUGAUAGCGAAAUUUGACUUCUUCUAGGUUAGCCCUUUUAGUCAAUAUCCAUAUUGUGAGAAUUUCAUGCGAUUUUUAGUUAUUUACAGCAUUUUAAGGUUCAGCGAAAGUCGCCAUCUUGGAUUUCAAGAUGAUCUGAUAGAGAAAUUCCACUUAAUCUGAUUAAGCCAUUUUACCCAAUGACCAUAUUGUGGGAAUUUCUAGUGACUUUCAAUGAUUUCAAUAAUUUUAUAGUUCAGUAGAAGCCGCAAUCUUGGAUUUCAAGAUGACACCUGAUAGCGACAUUUGUAUUCUACUCGUUGAUUCUUUUCAACUUAUACCCAUAUUGUGGGAGUUUCAUGUGAUUUUCAGUGAUUAACAGCAUUUUAAAGCUCAGUGGAAGCCGCCAUCUUGGAUUUCAAGUUGACGUCCGAUAGCGAAAUUCGACUUCUUAUAGUUUAGCCCUUUCACCAAAUACCAAUAUGGUGGGCCUUUCAUGCGAUUCUCAGUGACUAACAGCAUUUCAAAGUUCAGCGGAAGACGCCAUCUUGGAUUUUAAGAUGGCGUCGAAAAGAAAAAAAUCGACUUCUUCUAGUUGAGCCCUUUCAACCAAUACCCAUAUAGUGGUUAUUUAAUGCGACUUUUUGUCAUUUACAGCAUUAAAAGUUCAGCGGAUGCCGCCAUCUUGGAUUUCAAGAUGGCGUCUUAUAGCAAAAUUCGACUUCUACUAGUUUAGCCCUUUCACCCAAUACCCAUUUUGUUGGGGUUUCAUGCGAUUUCAAGUCAUUUACAACAUUUUAAAGUUCAGCGGAAGCCGCCAUCUUGAAUUUCAAGAUGGCGUCAGACAACGAAAUUUGACUUCAACUCAUGAUUUAUUCCACGGGUCAUUCACAACCAAUCCCUUUUUAUUCAAAAAGUCUGUCCUCAUUAACUGUACUAAUGAUUAACAACUGAGAAAUGAGGAACUCAUCCUAAGCGUGUAAUUGGUUGGCUUGCGAGAGAAACGUCAAAUCGUAGCUUUUUUGGGGUCAUCAUUAAACCAUAAUAAAACUAUGAAUUGACUCACGCCAUGUUGGUUGCAAAAUCAAAGGGCUCAAAAUGACGGCAUGUUGAUGGAUUCACAAUGCAAGCAUUGGAAAAUAUUUUUCAGGCCUUUUUUCCAUCAAUUCCAUCAUGAUUGACCAUCAGAUUUGACGAGGCGCAUUUAUUUUAAGAUACUAUUUCAUACACAUUUUACCUAAAAUCUUGACUGGCAGUACCAAAGAGGCUCAUAAUAAGGUUAAAACAUUGGUAUUUCGGCUGGUAUUGGUAUUUUGGCAUUCAUCAACCAUUAGAGCAAGUUCACUGGUUGAGAUGGAGUUGGAAAUUUCAAUGGUUUACAUCACAUCACAACACAUUUGCCGUCCACCGGUGUUGGGAAAAUCUGAUAUUCGAACAGUUUCGCGCUGCAAAAUUUGUAUCGUAUAACACUUUUUGGCUGAGGGUGAUAGAAAAACACAAUGUUUUGCAUCACCGAACCGAGUGAUAGAGUCGGCGUUGCAAUACAGUAUUCGUGCAGGAAACGAUUCGGUGCUGCCAUCUUUCUUAUGCUGAAAACCUCAGUUGAGGAGAAAAUAAAGGAAAUUGAGCAGUUUCAGGAUUUUAUUAUUAAGUUAUGUUAUCAUUUUUUUUAAAAAAAGCUGAUCUCUUAAAUAGAUAAGAAUUAGAAAGAAGUUAGUCAAUUAUUUAAAACUUACAGCCAAUUUUUUUCAUACCAUAGCCAAUUGCGUGCGCCAUCACUUAUUUGAGGCGCAGAGAUGCCAGAUAGCUGGGUGGUAAAUAUAUUCAGUUUGUUUGUUUUGUUUGUGUGGUUUUCGGAAUCUGACAAAAUGAAAAUCUACCGCGGUACGGUUCGGGCAAGUUUUACAAGAUUCGGUGUUAGUGUCCCCGGAAAGUGUCCCAGGCCUGGUAUUUGUUCAUACUCCAAAGCAUAAUUUGCCAAUCGUCGACGCUGGAAACAAUCAUCAGCAAGGAUGGAUAAAGAGCUGUGACCCAGUUAAGACCGCUUGAGAAAAAUGAUCGCGGACGGAUUCUCAUUAGAUCAUUGGAACGGGCCGGUCCUGGAGCAACGUUCUUUUCACGUGGAGAUAUCUCAAAUACCUGCCAAUUCUGGAUCGGUAGGCGACUGCGGUGUAGGCACUGGCGGAACACAGUCUAGUCUGGUGGAAGGUUUGAUAUUGCCGAGAAAUGAAACCCAAUCGGCCAGCUGCAACGCGUGAAAGUGGAUGCGUAGGCGCUGGCGCUGAUUCCAUUAUUGUUGAUAAACUGGUGAACGAUGGUUAGCUUCUAGCGAUGGCAAUAAAAACGCGACUGAAGGAAACGAAACUGGACCGUAUUGAGUUGGGUAAUGCCCGAACUGCAGCACCAAGGAUCCCCGUUUUGUUUACGCUUGAUUCCCAGCAAAAAAUCUGCGUUAAAAUGUAUAUUAUGAUAAGGAGGAUGAUAGGAUUGCCUUGAACUGGAACUUUCAAAAGAGGUUUCUGCGAACAUCCGUAGUUUGCGGAAGGUAGUCAUUUUAAUUAUUUAUUUCGAAUUUAAUAUGCAUAUAAUUGUUGUGUCCAACUGGGCACACUGUGUUCUAAAACAGCCUGAGUUGAGGAAGACAAAUAAAUACACAAGAGAUGCGGGCAUUGCCUUGUGAAUCCUCCUACAAACAACAAGUGUUUUUUAUCCUCCCUCUGUGAAUCCGAACGUAUUAGUUGGCGACGGGAAAACUGGUGUUGCACGAAAAGUGAAAGUGGUUCAUUUUAUUCGGUUGUUCGGUGUGCGAUAUUUUUUGUAGCAGCAACUGCUGUUUAAAAAAAAAAAAGGGAAACCUGAAGUAGUUUUUUUCCCUGGUCCAGCCAAUUGGCAGACAUAACCAUCAUCAUCUUCGUCACAGUGUGCUGGAGUAGUAAGUAAUU